rnacentral:tRNA from 1 species
AUUAGAGUGGCAGAACCAGGUAAUUGCAAAAGACCUAAAACCUUUAAUUGAGAGUUCAAGUCUCUCCCCUAAUU